rnacentral:tRNA from 1 species
GAAGGUAUAGCUCAAGUGGUAGAGUGUGUGCUUCGCAUGCAUGAGGUCCUGGGUUCAACCCCCAAUACUUCCA